rnacentral:lncRNA from 10 species
GAGAAAACAUCCUGGGAGUCAACAGGAGGCAGGAGCACGCAUGCGUGAGGCUCCACAUUCCUGGCAGGCUCCAUUGUCUCGUUACACUUCACUUAGGGAGCACAAGUUCAAAGCACAAAGAUCAAAUGCAGAAGGAACUGCACGUGGAAAGGCCAGCCACAUACAUCACAAAAAGAGGACUGAAGUCAGCACACAGCUUGAAAGCCGGACUACAGGCCUUUCUUCAAGAAUGGCUGGAGUGACCCUGGGGACUUGCUGCAAGAAGCAAGAGGAUUGGGCAAAGGUCAAGAGGCCAUUUGUCAAACAGCACAAGACAUGUAACAGGAUAUGCACAGUGAGACAUGGCGGGGGAGAGCCCCCACGGAGCCCAGGGGAUGUAUGACAUCAUAGUCACAGUCCUACAUCUUCCUCUGUUUCCCCAGCUACCCUGGCUAUCUCUGCAGACAGGAAGAGAGCUGCCAAGUAGGGCUGGAAAGAGACACUCGGCAGGUAGAUCUUGCCGUAACAAGGAGAAGAAACUCAUGGAUUUCACCUAAGACCAGAGAAGGGAACAUUCCCAAGAGACUUGGAGGUUCCAUCUCUCAAGCAACCUGAAAUUAGCAGGGAUUUCUCCUGCGGCUUUGCCAUGAUGUGGGGAAAAGGGAAGUGGUUUUGACGCAAGGGACAGAGGGAGUGUUGGCGGUGGCAGGGGGAGCAGGGGCAGCAGCUCACUUACGGGUUAAAACCACCCUGGAGAGGCCCAGCUCUCUGAAGUUCGACAUCAGAAUAUACAUUCGAGUAAGGGUGGUCAGUUAUUCAAUUUUUUGAGACUCACUUUCCUUGUCUUUAUACAUGAGGUUUAACAAAAUUGUCAAGAAGGUGACAGAAAACAGCAGAGGAAAAAGCUGCAGUAUAGUGGAUACUCCAUAAAUAUUGGUUCCCUUGGCUAUAUUCGUCCCCUCUUUUUCCCAAGUGUAGAGCAACAUGGAUUAAAAUUUAUUUUGUAUUUCUAGAUCUCCAGCAAAUGUAUUUAGAACUGUUCUAUUAAAUUUUCCUGGAAAAUAAAGCAUCCCUUGCAUUGAGGCUAUCUAGGUAAUCUAUUUAACAGCAUCUAAGUCUAGAAAUUCAGAAACGUCUAUAUGUGCGCCUCUCUCUGUAAUGUCCUGAUUCUUUUUUUUUUUCUCAUCCACUUGCCCAUCAGUGGUUCAGAUAUUCUCUCUAUAUUUGUGUUUGCAAAGUUCUAUUCCUGAAUGGAAUUUUCUCCCAGGAAUUCCCGACCGAGGCCAUCUGCUCUGCAGGCAGAAAGUGAAGCGACCGCAGCCUGAUGCAGCCAGGAAGGCAGAGGCUGAGAGGAGGGAGUGUGGCAUCAGAACAGAGUCCGCCGGGGCUCUGGCUUCCUCCUCCGGGAUCAAGGGAAAUGUGCGAAGCACAGUGCAGAAUCCCGGGCGGCUCAUGCCCACUCACUUGCUGGGGGAACAGAUAAAACACGAGUGAGGGGGAGAUUUUGUGGGCUGACACUCCCCAGAAAUGCUGUGUGCACAUGGGCGUGGUGAUUGAUACUUAGCGCUUUGAAGCAAACACCGUGAGACUACUCAGCAUUGGGAGAAGCUGUCCACGCGGACGCCCAGGAAGCAGCCCGGAGGAUAGGGUGCCCCAGCAGUACUGCAGAAUCCCAACUACUGACGAGAAUGAGUAAAAGAAUGCACAGAUUGGACAUGUAAAUAAACAGGUUAAAUACCCUGGCAGCUCUUGAAAACAAACCCCUUUUUCUGAAUCUGCUCAGAAACCUCCGUUCUCAUGGUCACUCGGCAACAUGCUGCGGAGAAGAAGACUCGGCCUCGGAACAGCCAUGCCCGGGUUCGAUCCCAGUCCUAGCUUGUGGCAGCCGGGUGACUGGGCAUGAUUCCUGGGCUUCAGUCCUAAUCUGUAAAACGUAGGGGCUGAAGGAGGAAGCGGGAUGGAGUGGAGACCAUUAGAAUUAAUGUAUGAGGCCAGGCGCAGUGGCUCACACCUGUAAUCCCAGCACUUUGGGAGGCCAAGACAGGCAGAUCAGGAGGUCAGGAGAUCGAGACCAUCCUGGCUAACAUGGUGAAACCCCAUCUCUACUAAAAAUACAAAAAAUUAUCCAGGCGUGGUGGCACGUGCCUGUAGUCCCAGCUACUCGGGAGGCUGAGGCAGGAGAAUUGUUUGAAUAUGGGGGGCCAAGGUUGCAGUGAGCCAAGAUCGUGCCACUGCACUCCAGCCGGGGCAACAGAGAGAGACUCCAUCUCAAAAUAAUAAUAAUAAUAAUAAUAAUAAUAAUAAUAAUAAUAAUAAUAAAUGUAUAAAAAGUGAAGUCCCUG